GUGGGGAAUCUUGCGCAAUGGGCGAAAGCCUGACGCAGCCAUGCCGCGUGAAUGAUGAAGGUCUUAGGAUUGUAAAAUUCUUUCACCGGGGACGAUAAUGAUGGUACCCGGAGAAGAAGCUCCGGCUAACUUCGUGCCAGCAGCCGCGGUAAUACGAAGGGGGCUAGCGUUGCUCGGAAUUACUGGGCGUAAAGGGCGCGUAGGCGGACAGCUUAGUCAGAGGUGAAAGCCCAGGGCUCAACCUUGGAAUUGCCUUUGAUACUGGCUGUCUUGAGUUUGGGAGAGGUGAGUGGAACUCCGAGUGUAGAGGUGAAAUUCGUAGAUAUUCGGAAGAACACCAGUGGCGAAGGCGACUCACUGGCCCGAUACUGACGCUGAGGCGCGAAAGCGUGGGGAGCAAACAGGAUUAGAUACCCGGGUAGUCC
rnacentral:rRNA from 1 species